rnacentral:rRNA from 1 species
GACGAACGCUGGCGGCGUGCUUAACACAUGCAAGUCGAACGGAAAGGCCCUGCUUUUGUGGGGUGCUCGAGUGGCGAACGGGUGAGUAACACGUGAGUAACCUGCCCUUGACUUUGGGAUAACUUCAGGAAACUGGGGCUAAUACCGGAUAGGAGCUCCUGCUGCAUGGUGGGGGUUGGAAAGUUCCGGCGGUUGGGGAUGGACUCGCGGCUUAUCAGCUUGUUGGUGGGGUAGUGGCUUACCAAGGCUUUGACGGGUAGCCGGCCUGAGAGGGUGACCGGCCACAUUGGGACUGAGAUACGGCCCAGACUCCUACGGGAGGCAGCAGUGGGGAAUAUUGCACAAUGGGCGGAAGCCUGAUGCAGCAACGCCGCGUGCGGGAUGACGGCCUUCGGGUUGUAAACCGCUUUCGCCCGUGACGAAUCGUGAGUGACGGUAAUGGGUAAAGAAGCACCGGCUAACUACGUGCCAGCAGCCGCGGUGAUACGUAGGGUGCGAGCGUUGUCCGGAUUUAUUGGGCGUAAAGGGCUCGUAGGUGGUUGAUCGCGUCGGAAAGCGUAAUCUUGGGGCUUAACCCUGAGCGUGCUUUCGAUACGGGUUGACUUGAGGAAAGGUAGGGGAGAAAUGGAAUUCCUGGUGGAAGCGGUGGAAUGCGCAGAUAUCAGGAGGAACACCAGUGGCGAAGGCGGUUCUCUGGGCCUUUCCUGACGCUGAGGAGCGAAAGCGUGGGGAGCGAACAGGCUUAGAUACCCUGGUAGUCCACGCUGUAAACGGUGGGUACUAGGUGUGGGGUCCAUUCCACGGGUUCCGUGCCGUAGCUAACGCUUUAAGUACCCCGCCUGGGGAGUACGGCCGCAAGGCUAAAACUCAAAGGAAUUGACGGGGCCCCGCACAAGCGGCGGAGCAUGCGGAUUAAUUCGAUGCAACGCGUAGAACCUUACCUGGGUUUGACAUGGAUCGGGAGUGCUCAGAGAUGGGUGUGCCUCUUUUGGGGUCGGUUCACAGGUGGUGCAUGCCUGUCGUCAGCUCGUGUCGUGAGAUGUUGGGUUAAGUCCCGCAACGAGCGCAACCCUUGUUCACUGUUGCCAGCACGUUAUGGUGGGGACUCAGUGGAGACCGCCGGGGUCAACUCGGAGGAAGGUGGGGAUGACGUCAAGUCAUCAUGCCCCUUAUGUCCAGGGCUUCACGCAUGCUACAAUGGCUGGUACAGAGAGUGGCGAGCCUGUGAGGGUGAGCGAAUCUCGGAAAGCCGGUCUCAGUUCGGAUUGGGGUCUGCAACUCGACCUCAUGAAGUCGGAGUCGCUAGUAAUCGCAGAUCAGCAACGCUGCGGUGAAUACGUUCCCGGG